AGUACAAAUUUUUUUCGUUUUACUGUUUAGAUCUUCAUGUUUCGCGAUAGAUUGAAGUGGAGUUGCGUGAUGAUGUAUGAUGGUUGUAAUGUGUUGGGUAGAAAUUACUCAGUGCUGAUACAGUGUCGAUAUGUUGUAAUGAGCGAUGAUAGUGGAUGAUGGUGGAACAGAAUAUUCAUUGAGGUACUUUGAGGAAGCGAACAUAUGAUGGAAAAAUGUUGCAAAAAUAUUAAAUGACAAUUUAUUGAAUCACUUUUGUUGAUAUGUAUGAUAUUGAUUAAAUUGUAUUUGCAUGCUGUAACAUUUCUAUUUCAUUUCAGGGGGCUGUGGUGAGUAUUGUAGUAUAAAUUUGUUUCAAUAAAUCAUGAUGAAUGAAAACUGAUUUCGAUUCGUUUUGUACAGGUUUACUUGUAUAGAAGUGUAAUGCGUUGGGUAGAAAUUACUCAGUACUGAUAUAGUGUCGAUAUGUUGUGAUUAGCGAUGAUGGUGUAUGAUGGUGGAACAGAAUAUGAGCUUCUUUGGGGAAACGAACAUAUGAUUGAAAAAAAUUUGCAAACAUAGUAGAUAAAUGAUAUGAUAUUGCUUAAAUUGUAUUUGCAUGCUGUAACAUUUCUAUUUCAUUUCAGGGUGCUGUGGUGAGUACUGUAGAUUGUAGUGCAUAUGUAUAGAAUUCAAUAAAAGAUUAUGACUGAAAACUGCUUUUGAUUCUUAUUGUACAGUUUUAGGGAUUAUAAGUCUAUAGCAACUCUGUCGGUUGGUGUUCAUGAGUGUGAGCUUAAUACAGCAAUGUUUGAGUAGUACAAAAAUGUUUUCGCUUUUGUGGUCGCCAGCUGUCCGUGAUCUGUAAAGUGAAAAUACACAGAGCUAUGAAGCAUACAAAUGUUUCGAAAUUUUAUCAAUGAUUGUAUACUAUGCAUGUUUUGAUUUAGUUCGUUUCAGAUUUGACAUGAGAUGAAAACCUGACAUGAUUUGAACAGAGCUGGGAAACGAAAAGAUUUUCAGAUGUGUGCUGGCAGUUCAAGUCUGGCAGCUGGAGUGAACAGUCGUGUUUUCUGGAGCUCCAACAAUAUGCUAGAAGGUAAGUAACUAUGUUUGUUUUGCAUUGCAUGUUUUUAUAUGUUUCAGACUUUCAAGCAGAGAUGUCAUGCUGACUGGAGUUGAGCACAGGGCAGUGACAAAGUGAAAGGUAAGUACUUUUGACUGAAUGUUUGUUCUAUGCAUGUUUUGUUUUAAUACAUUUCAGGAGUGCUUAUCCAGUGAUGAUAUGACAGUUGGAGUGAACAGUGGAGCCAAGCAGUCUUGUUUUUGGAGCUACUCAACAAGCCUUGAAGAUGCUGAUGGCAGUGAUGGGUUUUCAAGCUGACCUGAACAGAAAAGCACUCAUAUGGUAAGUACAAAAUAGUUGUUAUAUGGGAUGUUUUGUGCAUGCUUUUAUGUUUCAGGUGUACUUGCUGACAGCGACGAAGACGAAUCAAGAAGAGGAACAUUGUUGAGAAAGUGAUUGGGACUUGCAAACAGGGUAAGUGUAACACUUGUGUUUGUUUAAUUUGUAACAUGCGUGCUUUGCUCUGUUUCAGAUUUCACAUGCAGAAAUUAAACAGGAUUUCAACUGCUGAGACACAAUUCAUCAAAAGUAAGGUAAGUUUUAAUUCAUUGAUUUGAGUUGUACAAUGUGUUCUUUACUUUAUUUCAGAUUCGAGUCACUGGUUUACACAUGGAAGAAGAUUUCCACGUCUGUUACUCAACUCUACAGAAGCAAGGUAAGUCGAUCAAAUUUUUGUUUUCAUUGACUGCUGUAAUGUGAUGUUAUGCUAUUUUUCAUGUGUGCUAUGCAGAGAUGGAGAAUUCAAUUUUAAGAAAGAUUAACUGCUGCAGCUUAGCUCUGCUCUGUGUUGAUUUUUGUUCAAAAACGUUUAAAAUGUAUGUGUGUUUUCAGAUGUUUUGUUUCAGUUGAUGUCCAGAUGGCAAGCAGUACAGACGUGUUUCUUGGAGCUGCCAAACAGGAGCUGUGGUGAGUAUUGUAGUAUACAUUUGUUUCAAUAAUGUUUGAGUAGUACAAAAAUGUCUUUACUUUUGUGAUCGCCAGUUGUCUGUGAUAUGUAACGUAAACAAAAAACACAGCUAUGAAGCAUACAAUUGUUUCGAAAUUUUAUCAAUGAUUGUAUACUAUGCAUGUUUUGAUUUAGUUCGUUUCAGAUAUGACAUGACAUGAAGAGUUGACAGUCGAACAGAGCUGAGCAAUGCAGAAAGGUAAGUGUGUUUCAUUUUAGUAUGAACACUUGUAUUUUGUUUUUAUAUGGUAUGUUUUGUGCAUGCUAUGUUUCAGGUGUACUUGUAGUCAGCGACGAAGACGAUUCAAGAAGAGGAACAUUGCUGAGAAAGUGAAUGGGACUUGCAAACAGGGUAAGUGUUACAAUUGUUCUUUUGAUUUUUGCCAUGCAUACUUUGCUUUGCUCUGUUUCAGAUUUCACAUGCAGAAAUGGUCUCAUAGCAGUGCCAACAGUGAAUAAGGAUUUCAGCUGCUGUGAAACAACUCAACAGAAAGUAGGUAAGCAUUGAAUGAAUGCACUUGAGUUGUACAAUUUGAUGUGAUGCUUUUCUCUGUUUCAGAUUCAAGUUCCUGGUGUAGACAGAGAAAUGUGUUUGAAGAAGGAAUUCUACUACUGUGAUUCAACUCUACAGAAGCAAGGUAAGUAGAAACACAAUUUUGGUUUAAUUUAACUCAUGUGUUUUGCACUGCAUGCUAUUUUUCAGGUCUCUCAUGCAGUGAUGCAAAAGAAGAAGAUUUCAAGAAAGAAUCACUGCUGCAACUCAGGCCUAUAACAAGGUAAGUGUUUACUAUAUUGUAUACAAAAUGUUUCUCUGUUUUACUCUGUUUGAAGGUUUCAAUUGCAGAGAUGUUGCAGAGAUGUUUUGACAGCUUGUGACAGAAAAGAAAUUCAGCAGCUGUGUCUCGACUCUAGCCACGAGGUAAGUCAAAACAAAUAUACUGGUUUGUAUGUUAUGUUGUUAUGCCCUUCUAUGUUUCAGACUUACAUUGCUGUGACUGUUCCACAGUGGGUCAAAAAAGAGACGAAUACAGGUUUCAAGAAGAAAAUUGGCUGUUGAAAACCUGCACAAAAUAUGAGGUAAGUAAACUAUUCUUUUGGUUUGUUUUGUGCUUUGUUAUGCUUAACUAUUUUUCAGAUUGGAAUGGUGGGUCGUUACAGAGCAGACUUUUGGACAACUGAGAAGUUGAGAAACAGAGAAUGAUUCAAGAUCAGCUAGUAUCCUGUGGUAAGUACACUAACUUUCUUUAAUUUUCAUAUUGAACUGUUUUGAUGACUUGUAUACUACUAUGCAAUGCCUAAUGUUUUUUUCAUUUCAGUAGCCUGUUGGUAAGUACACUAACUUUCUAUAAUUUCAUAGUGAAUUGUUUUGAUGACCUGUAUUCUGCAUUGUAAAAUGUGUUUCUUUUUCAUUUCAGUAUGGCUGUGGUAAGUACAAUUGCCUUUCAUAUUGAACUGUUUUGAUGACCUGUAUUUUGCAUUGUAAAAUGUGUUUCUUUUUCAUUUCAGUAUGGCUGUGGUAAGUACACAAACUUUCUUUAAUUUUCAUAUUGAACUGUUUUGAUGACUUGUAUUCUGCUAUACAAAAUGUGCUUUUUUCAAUUUCAGGUCAGCAAUGGUAAGUAUAGUGUGUUUUUUUAUGUAUAAUUUUGUAUACAUAUUGUUUUUUUCAUCAUAGCAUGUCUUUUAUAUUUAUGCUUUGUGUAAGUAAAAUGUUCAUAAAUCAUUCUUAUCUUCAAACUAAAAAUGUAUUGUGCUAUGCAAAAUGUCUGUAUGAUUUCAGUUGCCAGAGGUGAGUACCAUUACAGUUGAAAAGUUAGUUUUGUUUAGUUAAAGUUUUGGUUCACAGUUCUGUUUGUUAUUUGGCAAAAUUUACAUGUAUGCAUUGAGUCUUGAUUUCAGCUCGAUUGUGGACUGAAGAAGAUUGCCCGCAGAGGGAUUGGAUACAAAAUACAAACUUUACUGCUAGACGAGUGUUCUCUACUACUUGACGAGUCAGCUUUACUACCAGGCGAGCAGUGACAACAAGGCGCCUUUGUGGAAACAACACAACAAAAAACUGUACUGCUAGACGAGCAGUGACAGAAAGGCGCCUGAACAUGCAACACAAAACAAAAAAUGCCAAUAUACAAACCUUGAUGUGGACACCGAGUAGUCAAUACAUACGUGUGGCGUACAGCUGCGACAAAACCGUGGGUCCAUCGCACCGAUAACUCGAACAUUGGCCCGCGUAUGGACAUCAGUGCAACUUUGUGAAUCCAUGUAACUUUGUGAAUCCAUGUAACAUUGCGAAUAUGUGUCGAUCGAAAAAUGUGUACAUUCUGCACUGAAACGAACUCGGUGUUGCAAGUGGCAAGUGUUGACAGUGUGUAUGUUUAUGUUUAUGUUUUUACAUGAAAAAUAAAGGAGAUUGUUCUCCUACCUUUUUUUUCCUUGUUUUAUUGUGCUGGCCAGCAAUAUUGAUGUAUUGAUGUAUGUGUUUGUGUUUAAACUAUGCAAUACCAAAAUCAAACAAAAAAUAAACAUUAACAGUCAUUAACUGUGUUUGGGCGGCCGAGGGGUUUAAGACUCCACAAGUGUGAAGCGCACUGAUAGCACUUGGGGGUAAACACCUCGGUAUUUCGGUGCUAAAAUGUUUUCACGGUGCUUAUUUUGACGCACUGUUAGAACUACCAACCAGUAAAUGAUUGCUUGAUUUAUAAAACAAAUUUUCAGUCUCUACUUUGGCACAAGAGACUCUAAGUAUCAAAUACCAACAAUUUAGACGCAGACAAUCACAUGGUGGUACACCAGUCCGAAUAUACUCAUUGCUCUAGCCAGGAUUGCAAAUUACUUGUGUUGACUAGCAAGGCUCCCUAGUAACGGAGCAGUGUUACUGGCGUUUUUUGGGUCGAUAGUGCUUAGGUGAGGUUUUGCUCGAAUCGGGAGCGGGUCACUCGCUUGGGCGAGUUAGUUUUCGCUCGUAGUUUCCAAUCUGGCUAGAUCACUGUAAGGUUGUUUUGACUGCUAUUUGGCAAGCAGAAAGACAACAGCGGUUAAUUGACUGAGUAUGGGCGACCGAGGUAUGUAGGUGUCAAUAGACCGACUCCACAAGUUGCGAAGCGAACCGAUAGCACUUGAGGGGAAACGCCUCGGUUUUCGGUUCUAACAUGUGUUAUCCAUGCUGUCGUUAUACUCU